UCCCGCUUAGCUCAGUUGGUAGAGCGCGUCACUAGUAUCGAGCGCCAAUUAUCAGCUCUCGGCUAUGACGAGGUCAGUCGUUCGAGUCGGCUAGUGGGAA